rnacentral:rRNA from 1 species
GGGCCCGCACAAGCAGCGGAGCAUGUGGUUUAAUUCGAAGCAACGCGAAGAACCUUACCAGGUCUUGACAUCCACUUAAAGCGGUAGAGAUACCGUGUGCUAGCAAUAGCGAAGUGAGACAGGUGGUGCAUGGUUGUCGUCAGCUCGUGUCGUGAGAUGUUGGGUUAAGUCCCGCAACGAGCGCAACCCUUGUCGUCAGUUACUAACGGGAAGCCGAGGACUCUGACGAGACUGCCGGGGACAACUCGGAGGAAGGUGGGGAUGAUGUCAAAUCAUCAUGCCCCUUAUGACCUGGGCUACACACGUGCUACAAUGGCCGCAACAAAGAGGAGCAAAUGCGAGAGCAAGAGCGGAUCUCAAAAAGCGGUCUCAGUUCAGAUCGUGGGCUGCAACCCGCCCACGUCGAAGUCGGAGUUGCUAGUAAUCGCGAAUCAGCAUGUCG